UACAGAGGAGCCAAGCGUUGUCCGGAUUGACUGGGCGUAAAGCGCACGCAGGCGGUUGCGCGCGUGGGGUGUGAAAUCUGGCCGCUUAACGGCCAGGCGCCAUCCCAUACGGCGCGACUGGAGUGAUGCAGAGGUCGAUGGAAUUGCCGGUGUAGUGGUGAAAUGCGUAGAGAUCGGCAGGAACACCCAGGGGGAAACCAGUGGACUAGCACGGAGCUGACGCUCAGGUGCGAAAGCGUGGGGAGCGAACCGG
rnacentral:rRNA from 1 species